rnacentral:sRNA from 1 species
GGUGACUCUCUAGAGUGCUUGCUGCUGCUUCCUCUGUGUGAUGUUUGUAUAUCUCUACGAGAAUAUGUUCUGCUCCCAUGUGCAGUAACAGCGUAGUGCAAAAACUGUAUCAAACCUACUAUCAGUUGUUUCUUCGAAAUUCAAAACAAUUUCUUCGCU